rnacentral:rRNA from 1 species
GACGAACGCUGGCGGCGUGCUUAACACCUGCAAGUCGAACGAAGUGGCGAACGGGUGAGUAACGCGUAAUCAACCUGCCCUUCAGAGGGGGACACCAGUUGGAAACGACUGCUAAUACCGCAUACUGAAGGAGGGGAUUGCGUCUGAUUAGCUAGUUGGAGGGGUAACGGCCCACCCAGGCGAUGAUCAGUAGCCGGUCUGGGAGGAGGAACGGCCACAUUGGGACUGAGACACGGCCCAGACUCCGACGGGAGGAAGCAGUGGGGAAUCUUCCGCAAUGGACGAAAGUCUGACGGAGCAACGCCGCGUGAGUGAUGACGGCCUUCGGGUUGUAAAGCUCUGUUAAUCGGGACGCGGUACCGGAAUAGAAAGCCACGGCUAACUACGUGCCAGCCGCCGCGGUAAUAC